GAAGAAUGAAGGGACCCUGCAGCGAAACGGAGAGCCAACCUCUGACUGAGUGCCUGUCUACACAGUCUGACCACCUGUUGAAGGGCUGUUUGAUGACGAUUUGGACUCCUCUGGGAGAUGAGGACACACCCACAUCUGUUCCAUACUGCAGCCAUUGAUGGUGUUACAGCUCUGAGUCAGCUUUGGGCCAUCAGACGCACACACUGGAAAACCAGCACCUGGACUUCAUGCAGGAGAGACGGCCUCAGUGAUAAUUCAUCAGCAGCUGUGGAGAGAUGCAUUUGAAUAUCUUCUGGUUCCACUCUUCCUUACCUGGAAGCUGAGGAUGGCUGAUUUCUGACAAGGACACAAACCUCAGUGCUUAUCAUGGGUGUUACAUCCUCUGUGCAGCAAUUCCAGAGAAAACAAGAGAGCAACGACCACUCAUUAAGACCAGACAGAAAUCUGUCCCUUUCUGGCAGCUGUGGAAACUUCCAAUAAGAAAGUUUGCAUUCUUAGAACAAUGCUGGAUCAUGUGUGAUGUGUCAUCAUAUGAGGAUAUUACAUUUUGACUUAAUUCUGCUCAAUUAAGUGUUUUGUUCGUUGAUCCAGUAUGGCAGCUUUGUGUUGUGCUGCAAGUUAAAACCCAUUGUCCUCAUGAGCACAGCAUCUAACAACUCUCCUUAAAAAAAGUCGAUUGACUUUAACUGGACACAAUGGUUUCCAGUGGGAGAUACAUUCAUCAGUCAUCCGUGACACUGGAGAAGUCACCUGGAUGAGUGAUCAAUAUAUAUAAAAUAUAUGUGUGUGUGUGUGUGUGUGUGAUCUUUGUUUUCUCCAAUUCACCAGGUCUGUAAAGUUCAGUACGACUGUGGUACAUGAUACAAAAGAAUAAAUACAGAAG
ensembl:lncRNA